rnacentral:rRNA from 1 species
CCUACGGGAGACAGCAGUGGGGAAUAUUGCACAAUGGGGGGAACCCUGAUGCAGCGACGCCGCGUGAGUGAAGAAGUCUUUCGGUAUGUAAAGCUUCAUUAGCAGGGAAGAAAAUGACGGUACCUGACUAAGAAGCCCCGGCUAACUACGUGCCAGCAGCCGCGGGAAUACGGAGGGGGCAAGCGUUAUCCGGAUUUACUGGGUGUAAUGGGAGCGUAGAGGGUAGAGCAAGUCUGAAGUGAAAGGCCGCGGCCCAACUGCAGGACUGCAUUGGAAACUGGCCGGCUAGAGUGGUGGUGAGGUAAGCGGAAUUCCUAGUGUAGCGGUGAAAUGCGUAGAUAUUAGGAAGAACACCAGUGGCGAAGGCAGCUUACUAAACAGUAACUGACAUUGAGGCUCGAAAGCGUGGGGAGCAAACAGGAUUAGAUACCCCUGUAGUC